GGCAGAAUCAGGCCUGGGAUUCUUGAUUCUUGAGUUGAGUGCUCUCCUUUUGCCUUCGUCCUGGUACCACCUCUGUAGUCUUUCCGUUGUUUUCACUGCACAGGUGGCACCUGCAGAUCUGAUUUUCCUCCUUUCUGGCACAGGGCAUCUUGAGUACCUGUUAGAAGACAGAAUAACAUAAGACUUCUUGUGCUUUGCAAAUUGGACUUUCCUGUCACUACUGGCUGAUGACACACACUUGACCACCAGACCAUCCAACCUCUACCCACCACCCAGGGAUCCACUGACUUGGACUAUCUAGCCGAACACCUUGUUUCCUGUGGAACUGGAUCCGAAUGUCUCAGAGCCAUAAAUCACCGAGUUUCCUACACUGGAACUUUUUAUCCCACUAGCGACGAGCACCCACCAUUCCUUCGUUAUUACUCCUACCUUCCCAGCUACUAAGGAAGGGUGAGGGCCGGAAAAGCUAAAGCGCCUAGCAGGCUUUCUCAUCUCCCGACCUUACCGAGUUUUAGCAAAACAAAACAUCAGAAGUACAGAGUCAUCAGCUCUGGCAGUGCCAAUUGGUGCGUGGGAGACAAAAGGGGCUGGGAGGUUGUCUAUGACUGUGCAAGAGACAAAAUAAGCAAAUAAAAUUCCUCCACUGUGCAAUCCUUUACGAGAAGAGGAUAGAACCAUCUUAUGCUAAAAAGAAAGAGGAAAGUCUAGCACUAAGAGAGGAAGCCCGCAGGAGGCC
ensembl:lncRNA